GACCUUCCUUUAAUCUGCCCUCUCUUCCUCAGCCAAAGUGAUCUUUCUUUUUUUUUUAAUUUUUAAAAAAUGUUUGUUUAUUUUUGAGAGAGACAGAGACACAAUGUGAGUGGGUUAGGAGCAGAGAGAGAGACACACACAAAAUCUGAAGCAGGCUCCAGGUUCUGAGCCAUCAGCACAGAGCCUGAUGCAGGGCUCCAACUCACAGAGCUGUGAGAUCAUGACCUGAGCCGAAGUCAGAUGCUCAACCGACUGAGCCACCCAGGCGCCCCCAGAGUGAUCUUUCUAAAACACUUUGCAGAUUAAGUGACUCCAUUGCCCCCCAACUUUCCCUACAUCCCCAAGACUAUGGCAUGAAGUGGAGAUUUGUUAGCCUGGUGUUCAAGAGUCCCCAUGGCCUGGCUUCUUGCUCCUAUCCUCAGCACUGUGAGCCAUCCUGAGGGUCCUGAUGUUGCCUGAGUAUUCCAUACUAUUUCACACACCUCUCCUAUCCACUGAUUGUUUCAUCCAUUUAGAAUUUUAGUUUCUUCUUUUUUCUUGAUGAAUUUCUUUUUGUUCUUUAAGAUCUGGCUCGUGUCACCAAAGCCUAGAUGCCCUCCCCCUGACCACACUACUCUCACCCAGGUCCAGAUCAGAAGAGUCAAAGGAGAUCCACUGGUUGACCAGGAUUAAGACAUGGUAUCAGAGAUCAUGCACAGUGGCAUUUAAUGAUCACAUAUCAAGGUACGUUGCACUCAAAAUUUAAAAUAAGAAUGUUUGCCAAUAAGGUUUAUAGGGAAAUAAUUGUAUACGUUUCUCUGCUUUCAGAGGUAUAGUCCAACUGUCAAUGUCAGAAUGCUUUUGGUUAUAUAAACUUUAAAAACUCAACUAAAAAUGAUGAGUAAUAAGGAACAUCUGUAUCUCACAUAACAAGGUAUUUGGAAGUUUAGUGGUUCCAGCUUUGAUUAAUGUAGUGUUCAAAUGAUAUUAUCAAGGUCCUAGGUUCUCUCCAUUUCUCCUCUAUAAGCUAUUGGAUUGUCUUUAAGCUGAAUUUCCUCAUGGCCCCAAGAUGGCUGCCAUUCUGCCCACUCUCAAAUACAGAUAGCAAGAUCCAAAGGCAGCAAAUGGUUUGUUUCCUUUUGUGUGUCUCUUGCUAUCAAUAAAGAAUGUUUUCCAUGAACUCCCA
rnacentral:lncRNA from 1 species